AGCCUUAUUCCAGUUUUAGGAUUGUUUCCUUAGACCAGAUCACUAGAAAUCCCACUGCCACCAAUUCUCUUAAUACCCUCAGGGAAACUGAGGCAGAGGGAGAUGAAGUGAGUCCAGGUCCCCUGGACUGUCAGAAGAGCAGCACUUAGGCCGCAAGUCAGGUCUUUUGCCUCCUGGUUUCACAGUUUUUCCAUUCAAUGACAGUCUUUAGAAUUUCUAAAUAAAAGGGCUUGAAAAUGUCUUGGGUGUCCACAGAAAAAUGAUUUUAUUUUUAAUAUAAAAUAAAGCAUUGUGGUUGAGAAAAAACACCAUAGGAGCUACCGUGAAUUCUGAAGCGCUUGUGAACAAGGUAUGUGGAGUGAAGUGCAGCAGCAUCCCUGGGUACCUGGAAAUAACACAGGCCGUAUAUGCUGAGAAAUAUCUGUUCCAUCUGCCGACGGUGCUUGGCGCACACGUGGAUUCUGAAUCCCUCUUAAACUCUCGUUGCCUCUUCACAUCCCACCCCCAGCUAGGUCCAUUGUCCUUUAAAAAGAAGGCAGCCAUCCUGAGUCUUCUGCCAGGAUAUUCAUUCCAAGCUAGAGCCCAUGGGAACCACAGUUACCUCCCUCUGGACCUGUCCUGCCCUCUUUAAUUCAGGGGUAGCUGAGUGGUAGAAGAGAGACAGAGUGGCUAUUCUGAAUACUGAGAGUUGGAAUAAGUUUUGUGUAAAGAUUUCAAGGCUUUGCAACCGGAGAGGAUAGUCUCCAAUAAUAACAAUGGUUUAAAUGUACUGACUGCCUACUAGGUACUAGGUACGAUCCUGAUUGCCACGUAUGCAUUAUUUUCGUUAGUUUUUACAGUGUUUCUGUGAAGAGGGUGCUACAUUCAUCAUGAUUUUUCCAGAUGAGAAAACUGAAGUGGACAGUAGUUCGGUGCACACAGAAACUAGACAUAGAGUGGGGCUUAAAGCCUCGGAGGCAUGGCUGUCAGUCUCCUCCUCUUACCUGUGCAAACACAGCCUCCUUCACCCCGUGACUCCGCAACACUGAGAAGUGUGAUGAGGCAGGUCGUGGUCCUUAUGUGGUCAGCUCACUCAGAAGCCAGUGAUGGGGUGAGGGAGGGUGUGACUCUUGGGACCGGCCCUGUUCUUUUAUUUUUCUUUUUAUUUCAAGAUACUUUAUUUUUUAAACAGGUCACAACUCUAAGCUUCUUGCCCAUUCUGCCACUGCACAAGCUACAAACACUUGCUCAGCAGUUGAAGGGCACUCUUUUUUUUUUUUUUUUAACAUCUUUAUUGGAGUAUAAUUGCUUUACAAUGGUGUGUUAGUUUCGAGGGUCACUCUUUAGUAGCAUGUUUGGAAAGUGAAUAAAAAUCCGUAUAAAACAAAUAUUCCAAUAGUUUCCAUAGGAACACAGGUAACUGUGACCCCAUCGCCUAGUCUUCCACGUUGCUGCCUCUAUGCCAGCAGUACUCACAUAGACAUCUCAAAACUAGCAGUAAUUAAGUGGUCCCCCCAGCCCCCGCCCAAACUCUUAAUUCAAGCUGAGCUAGCAGUUAACACCUACAAGAAUGGCAUCUACACAUUAACGUGAGCUGCUCACAGGCUGCUAGGUGAUCUUCGUUCCCCUCUUCCAAGCACAGGACACAGGCACAGUGCCGACACCGUGCUCCCCUACUCUGGGUGGGAAGUCGUGGUUCUGGGUUUGUUGCAUCAGUUGCCAUGUUGACCCUGACAUCACUCAGUAGAUCUGACCUUCCUCUUUACCGGCUGGCUCUCCAGAAUCACAGAGACAACACUUCCUCCUGCAUAGACGUGGGUGGGUGGGUGUCCAGGCAGCAAAACCUCUUUUGACCUGAGCUCUGUGCUCUACGUGAUUAGGAAGGUCAUAAUUGGUGACCACGAUUUACAGCAUUCGCGUGGACCACGAAAAAUUGCCAACAUUUAACCAUUUUGAUGUCCGGUAAGGUCAUUUUCAUAAGGCUUACCUUAUUGUAGGUCUGGGCCUGAUUGCCUUAGCACAGCUCAGCAUUGGUUGGUGGCAUAUCGCAGCAAAGGGGAGACGGUGGGCCUAUGGCUGCUGUACCCACCCCCAGCCAGCAUAGGGAAGCUGCAAAGGGACCCCGCACAACCUAGAGUCUCGUAGGAUGAGGAAGCUAUGGAUAGAUGAUUAGGAUGUCACGUGUCCCUUCUCUCCAGGCUCUCUUCACUGAGCGGCUGCAGCUCAGGUUCUGCUCUUAGUAGCUUUCGUGAGGACUCGUGUUGGGGUUCGGACCUCCUUUUGCUGAGGGCCGUACUCCUUUCCCGAGAUGUAAGGCACCAGAGGAGCACCCUCCAGAAGCGUGAUCUUUAUCUCUGGACAGCACCUUGUUCUGAAUUACUGCAGCUCUGAGCAAAGCACGGGGUUUAGAACUAGAGAGACCUUGGUUUGAGGCCUGAUUCUACCACCUGUUAUGUGGCCUUGAGCAGUUUGUCUCUUCUCUCUUAGCGUGGGUUUUAUCAACUACAGGCGAUACCAAUGAUUAAGUUCUGGAAUGUGUGUAAAAUUGUCCAUGCUUCAUGGCCUUGGGGCACGUUUUGCUCCCCUUUCUUUCUGAAUAUGGUGAACUGGGAGGAUGCCAGGGAAGGAAGUCUGAGGUUAUCUUUUCACAGAGAAACUAUGUGCUGAACCGGAAGUUGGCCCCAAAGUUCCAACAAGCGCAGGUAUGUUUGUGUGGACUGUGGACCACAGCAUUCAAAAUGUCACGUUUUAGAGAAUCUAGGACACGUGUUCCUUAUUAUUUAAUCUCUGUCCCUUGAGCUUGGAGUAAAACCAGUUUUCUGCCUCCUCACUCUGGGCCUAACCUUCUAAGCUUCUGGAGUCUGAUACCCAGCCUCCUUAAUAAACAGCCCCCUCGCCACCCUGGAGAUAGGAAAACAUAAAAAGAGUGAGGCAUAUAUAGAGACAAACAGAAACUUAGAGAAGAAAACAGUGGAAGUGGCAUGGAGAGAGAAGACAGUAGGUAGGUAGGUAGAUAGGUAGAUAGAUAGAUAGAUAGAUAAAUAUUAAAACCCUUAAAAUCCCAAAAGUCAAUGAUAUUUGGUGAUCAGAAAAACCUUUAAUUAAAAACAAAAUCCUAUAGGCCUUAUAAAGUAUCCCCACUAAACUCCCAGGGCACCUAGAUUUACCUGUUCCCAUGGAAGGUCCACAUCCCGUCAAGAUCUGCUCAGGGAAGACUGCUGGGAUGUCUCUUUCAGUUGUUUCCUUUGGUUAAAAAAUGGGUUUUAAAAACAAGUAGAUGAGACUUCAAAUCCCCGGAGUCCCGCACUGGCUGUGAGUUAUUUGACCUCGUUAAGUCAGCCGUAAUACUUUAGUCUUAGUGUUGUUAUAAAGAUAAAUGAAGUGAUAUAUGGCCGUGCUUGAUACGUAGCGUGUAUUCAGUCCAUAGAGACACUGUAUUUUAAUUUCUGAUGUUUAGAUGUGUCUGCAGCGGCUGCUUCUUUUCUCCACCUUCCAUUGUGUGUCCUUCCUGCUCACCAGUGUCCCUCUUCUUUCUGAGGACAUUGGGUAUUUGGAAAGGAUGUUCUAAUUGGAGCAAUUAGAAAUGGUAAACUGAAGGGAUUCCCUUCAGACAUAUUUUAUCAUGAAGAUCUCCUUCCUUACCCCAUAAUUAUCUCAUCAUCAUGGGAGUCAGAUCAUUGGACUUAUUUUUUUAAAUUUAAACUAAGAGUUUCAGCAAGAGAGAGACUAAACCAUGAGUGGUGUCUGCUGGGUGGCCUCUUAGUUUCAGAUGGAGGUAGGAGAUGCUUCGCUGUGCCUCGCUCAGCCAUCAGGGUCUUGGCAGAAGUCACCUUGCUGCUGUGGGGUGGCACGUCCUGUGAGCUGAGACUCAUUCUGAGGUGGUUUCUGGAUGUGGCAUCAACUUAGGGAAGAGAGCUGGCAGGGACUGGGCAGCGUCUCCACUGGUUUGUACGGGUGGGAGCAUUUGGCCUCGGUGAGCCCUCAGCAGAGUCUAUCUCAAAAAUAAUGUUAUAGAUGUAACACCAUGAAAAUUGCGUCAUAUCUUAAAUACGAGGACAAAAUAGUAGAUCCACAUUUAGCAAUUAUUGUGACCUCUGUCACACUGCUCAGUCCCAUACACGGAGCACCUCUAGGAUUCCAAGUCUUGUACUGCAUUCAGAGAGAGUGGUCAUUGGGGACCAUUUCUUCUCUCCCCUCGAGGGGUAACUAGGUCAUAGAGGAAAUAGCACCAACUGUCAGAGGAUCCUGCUCGCCCAGUGGCCAAAUGGAGCUUGGCAGAUGACGCCCCUUGGGAAAGGUUCAAGAAAUGAAAACUAAGAGGAAAAAUGUGUUACAUGAAUACCCACGUCAUACUGAGGGAAGUAAGUCAGACAGAGAAAGAUAUAUUGUAUAACAUCCCUUACAUGCAGAAUCUAAAAAGAAAUGAUGCAAGUGAACUUACUUACAAAAUAGAAACAGACUCGAAGACUUAGAGGAUGAACUUAAGGGGGGAGUUCGUUCCCCUCCCCCCUUCCCUGGGGGAAGGGUGGGGGGGAAGGGAUAGUUAGGGAGCUUGGGACUGACAUGUACACACUGAUAUAUUCAAAAUGGAUAACCAACAAGGACCUACUGUAUAGCACAGGGAACUCUGCUCAAUAUUAUGUAACAGCCUAAGCGGGAAAAGAAUUUGAAAAAGAAUAGAUACAUGUAUCUAUUCAGUGUAACUGAAUCACUUUGCUGUACACCUGAAACUAACAUUGGCAAUCAACUCUACUCAAGUAU
ensembl:lncRNA